CUCUCUCUCUCUCUCUCUCUCUCUCUCUCUCUCUCUCCUUCCUUCUGAUCAAUGGCCGACCCAUUCAACCCACUCUGUCCUUCCGAUCGAUGGUCUCUCUCUACCCAUUUUCCCUUCUCCCUCUCAAAUCUGUGCCAUCAUAUGCACUAUCGAUUUUAUCUUUUGCGCUCUAGGGUUUUGCUUCAGACUACGAUUAGAUGCCAAAAUUUUUAUUUCAGAUUAAUUAUGGAUUUGAUUCAUCCAGAGAAAUUGCCGUUUGAUUUUGAGGUAAUUUCCAUUUGAUUUCGAGAAAUUUUCGUUUGAUUGAUUUGCUUUUCCAGGGUUUGGUGCACAAAAGCAACUCGGCAGAGUAAAGGCUAACUUUUUGUGUGUGUGUGUGUGUGUGUAAGUUAACAAAGGCUAACAUUUGAAGGUUGAUUUGUUGGAUCUAUUGACUGAGUUGAAGGUAUUGGGUUCUUCUCUGUGGCAUGCAGUCCCAGUAAAAGGGUCCAAAGGUGGAAAGAAGAAUGGUGUUAUGGAUUUCAUCUCGGGUAGUGCAGACAACCUCUCCAAAUUCCAUUGCGGAGUGGGUAAGAAGUAAUCAUAACCUUCAUAUUAAACACGAGAAAAACUUGUUUCCGGCUGUGCUGUAGUUUACAACACUCAAUCGCAAUCGUGACCUUCCAAAAGUGUUCUGGACGGUCCGAAUGUUAAUGAAACUUUUUCGAGGAAGAGUCAAAUUUGUCCCCAUAAAAGUUUCAUUAAAAUUCGGACUGUCCAGAACACUUUUGGAUGACUGUGAUUGAUUGGUGUUGUAAAUAGGUUAUUUACAGCACAGCCGGAAACAAGACAAUCUUAUUAAACACUAAUCAAAAGCAGAGGAUAUGGAUCAAUUGAUGAGCUAGCUAGAAGUUAGAAGUAUUAAUGUAUAUAUCAAUACAUUUUCUAUGAUUUGGAGGAGUUAACGUACAAUAGAGAAGAAAAAGGAAAGAAGAUUCUACAUAAAAAAAGAAUGUAAGAACAAGUGUUUGUUGAUUUUUCCCCUUAUGUAUGCUUCUGUUCUUGUAAAGUUACUAUAUCAUUCAUGGUUUCUUAAAAUAAAUGAUUGGUGUCUGCUCAUACUUAUUUAAAAUUGCAGUCGUGCUAGCACUGACAUCGGUAUUGUGCAAGAAGCAUGUAUGGGGCCAAUUCGGGAAAAGAGUAUGCAAAAUGUCAAGAAAUAGCUUAGUCAACUUAGAAGGGGAAAACAUGAUACUGCAGAAGCAUCGGCUCUUGGGAAAGAGAUUACUUUGUCUUGUAAUUUUAGGAUAUUCAAUUAUUGUAAAUUUUUUUAUUACCCUUUUGAUAUAUGGAUGCAUUUUGUUCUAGUACAGUUUGUAAGUGUAAUUGUAAUUUUACUUGUUGAAUGAAUUUUUGAUACAAUUGAGAUGGAUUUGGCUGGAAUUACU